UAACUAGCUGUGGCUAAACUUCGCGGAUGUUGGCUUUAAAAAAAACGAACCAUUGUUUCAGUUUUCAAUCCAACUAGACUACUUUCAAGGAUUUGGGAACUCUCCAGACUCGGAUGCUCUGAAGACGGAUCAGCACCGGGUGGACCUCCUAGGGAGGUUUAUGGAGGCGCUGGGCGUCCGGACAACAGUGCUGCUGAGCCCAUCUAUGACCGGCCAUUGCUCCAUCCCCUUCCUCACGAAACACGGUGCCCAGCUCCACGGCUUCAUCCCCAUAGACCCUGUAGGAGCCCGCAACUACACCCCUCAGCAGUACCAGGGCAUCCAGGCGAGAACUGUAAUGCUGGAUGCCUGGACUCAUACUCUGUGUUUGGAGCACUGGACACCAACCUGRGGGCCCAGUCCCACAAGAACCUCAUGCAGCUCAUACACCACUCAGUCCUGAAAAUGGAUGGGUGCACGCCCUGCCUACUACAUGGAUAAACCUUGGGAGUUCCACCAAUCACUGUUAGACUUUCUCAGCAAACUGGAGUGAGUGGAGAAGAACCAUUGUGGGAAAGAAGAGCAAUACAGGGUUGUGUUUGCAUGGAAGCGGAGGAGUGUUAUGCAAUUCAGAUACAAGGAAAGUAGUCCUCUGGGAUAAUAGGGCAAAGGUUGCUUUGAUAUGAUAAAUUACCCCCCUAGUCACCCCGGUGGAGUUGCUUCCAUUACAUGCUUUUGUUAACAUCCCGUUCAAUAGAAAGCAACUCUAAAAUAAGUUUGCUCUUUMAAGGCAAGGAGAACCCUUGAAUAGGUUUGAGUUGAGCUUCUAGUACAGUAUAUGCACAUUCAAAGUAUUUAUUGUCCUACAGGCACCAUUAUUGGUUCCAUGAUAAAAAUCAGUUGACAUGAUGAUAAAGAGGCUAAAAGAGAGCUAGGGAGAUAGUCCCAGGGUCGUAUUCAUAAGUGCACACCAUAGCAAWAUGUUUUGCAACAGAAAACUAAAACUAGCGUGGGUCCCGUGUGAUCAUUCCAAUUAAGGUGCUWUAUCUACUAAAUCUGUGGAAAGCUGUUACAACCAGAAAAGUAUACUCCGUUCCAUUUUUUUGUUAUGACAA